GAAAGAGGAGCAUGUGAUUAAGUAGAAGGUGGACAAACCAGAACUCAAGCUGAGGUUUCAGCUCUUUACAUUAUAACUCUACUAACCGUGUAUUUCCACUGUUACUUUCCCAAGUUACAUUGCUGCACAAGAAAAAUCAGAUCAAGAAGAAAGAAAAAGAAAAACUGAGAAAGAAAACAAAAUGCAAGCAAAUAAUAACAGAGAAAAUUCCCAGACCCUCCUGGCUGAGGCAUAACUUUCCCAGACAAGUUGUCUUUCCGGGAUGCCAGAGCCUUUGAUUCAAUUACAAGUCCUGGUCAAAAAGCAUCCCUUUGAAUUCCAAUAGAAGAUCCCGACCUUCUCCCAGCCCUCAUUCUAACUUGCUUGGGCUGCCCACCCCCUACUGGUUCUGAUCUGCUCAGACUUCCCAAUCCCACUAAGAUACUCAAUAAAAUAGCUUCCAUCAACUAAAGUCUUUGCAGAUGGACUUUGGCAGCCCUCUUUGUUGCCAGGACCUUCUAUCCACUGAAAACUGCAUUCUCAGUGCAAAACUCUAUUUUCCAUAAAUCUGCCACUAUAGAAGUCAGUCUCUGAGUAAACUGAUUUCUGUCUAACAAUAAACUUUCAUUUUGCAACUAA